GACGAACGCUGGCGGCGUGCUUAACACAUGCAAGUCGAACGGAACACCCUUGACAGAGGUUUCGGCCAAUGAAGAGGAAUGUUUAGUGGCGGACUGGUGAGUAACGCGUGAGGAACCUGCCUUUCAGAGGGGGACAACAGUUGGAAACGACUGCUAAUACCGCAUGAAGCAGCGAGGGGACAUCCCCUUGCUGUCAAAGAUUUAUCGCUGAAAGAUGGCCUCGCGUCUGAUUAGCUAGUUGGUGGGGUAACGGCCCACCAAGGCGACGAUCAGUAGCCGGACUGAGAGGUUGACCGGCCACAUUGGGACUGAGAUACGGCCCAGACUCCUACGGGAGGCAGCAGUGGGGAAUAUUGGGCAAUGGACGCGAGUCUGACCCAGCAACGCCGCGUGAAGGAAGAAGGCUUUCGGGUUGUAAACUUCUUUUAACAGGGAAGAGAAGAAGACGGUACCUGUUGAAUAAGCCACGGCUAACUACGUGCCAGCAGCCGCGGUAAUACGUAGGUGGCAAGCGUUGUCCGGAUUUACUGGGUGUAAAGGGCGUGUAGCCGGGAAGGCAAGUCAGAUGUGAAAUCUGGAGGCUCAACCUCCAAACUGCAUUUGAAACUGCUUUUCUUGAGUAUCGGAGAGGUAAUCGGAAUUCCUUGUGUAGCGGUGAAAUGCGUAGAUAUAAGGAAGAACACCAGUGGCGAANGCGGAUUACUGGACGACAACUGACGGUGAGGCGCGAAAGCGUGGGGGAGCAAACAGGAUUAGAUACCCUGGUAGUCCACGCUGUAAACGAUCAAUACUAGGUGUGCGGGGACUGACCCCCUGCGUGCCGCAGUUAACACAAUAAGUAUUGCACCUGGGGAGUACGAUCGCAAGGUUGAAACUCAAAGGAAUUGACGGGGGCCCGCACAAGCGGUGGAUUAUGUGGUUUAAUUCGAAGCAACGCGAAGAA
rnacentral:rRNA from 1 species